UACGAAGGGGGCGAGCGUUGUUCGGAAUUAUUGGGCGUAAAGCGCGCGCAGGCGGUUUCUUAAGUCUGAUGUGAAAGCCCACGGCUUAACCGUGGAAGGUCAUUGGAAACUGGGAGACUUGAGUGCAGAAGAGAAGAGCGGAAUUCCACGUGUAGCGGUGAAAUGCGUAGAGAUGUGGAGGAACACCAGUGGCGAAGGCGGCUCUUUGGUCUGUAACUGACGCUGAGGCGCGAAAGCGUGGGGAUCAAACAGG
rnacentral:rRNA from 1 species